rnacentral:rRNA from 1 species
GACGUAGGGCGCGAGCGUUGUCCGGAUUUAUUGGGCGUAAAGAGCUCGUAGGCGGCUUGUCGCGUCGACUGUGAAAUCCCGAGGCUCAACUUCGGGCCUGCAGUCGAUACGGGCAGACUGGAGUUCGGCAGGGGAGACUGGAAUUCCUGGUGUAGCGGUGAAAUGCGCAGAUAUCAGGAGGAACACCGGUGGCGAAGGCGGGUCUCUGGGCCGUAACUGACGCUGAGGAGCGAAAGCGUGGGGAGCGAACAGG